rnacentral:rRNA from 1 species
CCCGGGCCUUGUACACACCGCCCGUCGCGCCAUGGGAGUGGAUUGCACCAGAAGUAGGUUGGUUAACCGUAAGGGGGCCGCUUACCACGGUGUGUUUCAUGACUGGGGUG